UUUUAUUUGAGAGUUUGAUCCUGGCUCAGGAUGAACGCUGGCGGCGUGCCUAACACAUGCAAGUUGAGCGAUUUACUUCGGUAAAGAGCGGCGGACGGGUGAGUAACGCGUGGGUAACCUACCCUGUACACACGGAUAACAUACCGAAAGGUAUGCUAAUACGGGAUAAUAUAUUUGAGAGGCAUCUCUUGAAUAUCAAAGGUGAGCCAGUACAGGAUGGACCCGCGUCUGAUUAGCUAGUUGGUAAGGUAACGGCUUACCAAGGCGACGAUCAGUAGCCGACCUGAGAGGGUGAUCGGCCACAUUGGAACUGAGACACGGUCCAAACUCCUACGGGAGGCAGCAGUGGGGAAUAUUGCACAAUGGGCGAAAGCCUGAUGCAGCAACGCCGCGUGAGUGAUGAAGGCCU
rnacentral:rRNA from 1 species